rnacentral:rRNA from 1 species
GACGAACCGUGCGAACGGUGUUCGGAAUCACUGGGCUUAAAGGGCGCGUAGGCGGACGGCCGCGUCCGGGGUGAAAUCUUCCGGCUUAACCGGAAAACAGCCCCGGAUACGGGUCGUCUGGAGGGGGGUAGGGGCGGUCGGAACUUCCGGUGGAGCGGUGAAAUGCGUUGAUAUCGGAAGGAACGCCGGUGGCGAAAGCGGACCACUGGACCCCACCUGACGCUGAGGAGCGAAAGCCAGGGGAGCAAACAGG